GGCCGGUUAGCUCAGUCAGUUGAGCAUAGUGCUAACAACGCUAACACUAUGGGUUCGAUUCCUGUUCAGUCCC
rnacentral:tRNA from 1 species